rnacentral:rRNA from 1 species
UACGAAGGGGGCUAGCGUUGCUCGGAUUCAUUGGGCGUAAAGGGUGCGUAGGCGGCGCGGUAAGUCGGGUGUGAAAUCCCUCGGCUUAACCGAGGAACUGCGUCUGAGACUGGUGAGCUUGAGGGUAAGAGAGGAACGCAGAAUUCCAGGUGUAGCGGUGAAAUGCGUAGAUAUCUGGAGGAAUACCGGUGGCGAAGGCGGCGUUCUGGACUACAUCUGACACUGAUGAACGAAAGCCAGGGGAGCAAACGGG